GGAGGAAUAUUGGGACAAUGGGGCGAAAGCCUGAUCCAGCCAUGCCGCGUGUGUGAAGAAGGUCUUCGGAUUGUAAAGCACUUUAAGUUGGGAGGAAGGGUUGUAGAUUAAUACUCUGCAAUUUUGACGUUACCGACAGAAUAAGCACCGGCUAACUCUGUGCCAGCAGCCGCGGUAAAUAAAAAA
rnacentral:rRNA from 1 species